UUUUUGGCAAAAUUUCAUUUAAUGUUGAUUUAUAUUUUUGGCAAACUUAUUAGAAUAUAAUAAUAAUUCAUAUAUUACAUUCAAUAUUGAUAUUUUUUUUGGUAAACGUUUUUUUUAAAUAUGGUAAUAGCUCAUACAUCAUCUACAAAAUAAAUAUAUUCAUAUAUAACAUUUUAAAUUUCAAAAUAUUAUUAUUUUUGUAUAAUUGUACAAUUUGUAUUGCUAAAGCUUUCAAAAAAUUCUACAAUUUUUUAAAAAUUUAAAUAUCUAAUCAUAAGAUCAUUAGCUAAAUUUUGAUAAUUAUACAAUUUUAUAUUAUUUUUAUUAGUUUUAUACAAAUUGAUUUAAUAUAUAUAUCAAAUUUAUAUUAAAUAUUAGUAAGAAAAUAGUAAAAUCUAUAAUAUUUAAUAAAAUUUAUUUUUAAAUAUAAGUUAGAUUAAAAAAAUUCCUUACUGCACAUGGUGUAAGAAAACACCUAGUUAGUUGUAUUUCAAGGGUGGAUGUUAAUUAAUUGAUAUAAAACCAAUGUGUGUGUGUGUGUCCCAUUUAUAUAUAGUAUGUUUAAAAUUAAAGGUUCGCUUUUAAUUUAUGCAAUUUUAUCUUUUAUAUUAACUAUGAGACCUGGUAAAACUUUAGAUUCUACUUUCUUAAAUGAGAUAGCUUAUAAGCAAAUGUUGUAUCAUCAUUUCAUAAAAUUUCGCUCAAAAUUUCAAAUUUGUAUAUGUUCAUUUUUUUUAACGCUGAUUUAUUAUGAUAUUACAAUUAUGAGAAAUAUUACAUAGACGGUUUGAUAGUUCUUGUAAGUAUUUCUUAUGUAUUCUGCAUAAUUGCUUAAUAACUCGUUUUUACUAGAAUUUGAAAUCUAGAUUUCCUAUACUCUGAAAUAAAUUGCAUAGUUUAGGAUUCGAACUAAAGAUUUAGGUGUAGAAACCUUUAAAUUUUAACCAUUAGGCUACGGUGUUUCCACAUAUAUGUUCUUUUGUAAUCCGAAUACAGUUCAUUUCAGAAUAUAAACCCCUACUUCUAAGUUCCAACCAAAAUAUUCGGCAAUUGUUUUCUAUUUUACGGAUAAGAUUUUUUUGAGCGACAAUAGACCAUACUUUCUCCCCUCCUUUUUUUAAAACUUAUAAUUACUGGAUUUUAUUUUCAAACUCAAUGUGCCAUAAUAGCCCAAUACACCAUCUUUUGGAACUUCUUUUCGAACUAUAAACUCUUAAAUUUUUUCAUGUAAAAGUACAAAAUAUGUUUUAAAAUCUAAUUUUAAUCUUUCAAAAGAAAUAAUUGUUUCCUUAAAAUGUUAAUUUUAUUUGUACUAAGAAGACUGAGGGCAAUCAUCUUAUUUCCCACAUGGGAAUAAAUAUAUUAGUGUUCUAUGUUUUUAUAGGGUGAACAAAAAUAUGAAAACUACAUACUUUGUGGCAAAGGUUUAUCAUUAAAAAAAUUGGAAAUAACACUUGUCAUAAAAGUGUUUUUCCUAAGUUGUCAUAAAGGUUAGAUUAAAUUUAUUAAGAAAAAUAAGGAGGUUAUAAGAUUUACCAUUUCAUCUAUAUUUUGCCUUUUUGAAAUUUUAAUUCCAGUUGGACUAAGAUUUUAGAUGUGAUUGGGUAGAAAAAAGAUCAAUGUAAUUAAGAAAAGUAAAGAAGGUAUAAGAUUUACCAGUUUUAUCUAUAUUUUGCUUUUUGAAACUUCAAUUCCAGUUGGACUACCGUUUUCGAUGUGAUUGGAUAGAAAAAAAAUCAAUGUAAUUAAGAAAAGUGAGGAAGAUAUAAAAAUCUCUAAAUUUUCUUUUUGGUAGCUUCUUUCUCUUGCUCACAGUACUAGUGAUACGGUGUAGAAGAAAAUAGAUUAAAAAACAUAUCAUUUACCAUAAAAAACUAUGAAUUUAAAAAACUUAUUGAUAGAUAUUAACCCAAAGAAAUAUUUAAGAAAUUAAUAGCAAAUUAAAACAAAAGGAGACAAAAUAAGUUUAAAUGAUGCACAUUGCAUAGAAUAGAAUAUGAAAGUCUCUGGACACAAAUACAAUAGGCAUGCAUUGUAUUUGAUGGGCUCUAGAUGAGCAUGCUUUAUUCACAUAAAACAAAAGUAGAUAUUAGGAAGAAUUAAAUAAAAUGAUUAUUCAGGUUUUCUUAAAUCC